CUGCCGAACAUCUCUGGGGCUGUUGACUGUGAGCCUCAGGGAAGAGAGAAACACGAACCAAGUGAAUCAUGUUAUCCCUCGAUGCGAAGGUGGAGCAGUGGCUGGCCUGGGACCGUGAUCCGGCUACGCGUCAGGUGAUCGAAUCCCUGGCAGCCGAGAAGGACACGGCGGAGCUGCGACGCCGCCUCGAGACGCGCAUGAAGUUCAGCACUGCCGGCCUGCGGUCUACCAUGGGGGCCGGAAGCGCUCACAUGAAUCGUCUCACGGUGCUGCAGACGGCUCAGGGGCUGGCGGCGUACGUGAAGCAACAGUUCGCCCCCGCGGAGCUCUCGCGCGGCGUCGUCAUCGGCUACGAUGGGCGACAUCACAGCCGCGAGUUUGGCGAGAUCACAGCCACUGUCAUGCAUCAGCAGGGCAUCAAGACGUACCUGUACCGCCACUGCAUCCCCACACCGUUUGUGCCGUACGGCGUCAGGUUCUUUAACGCGUUGGCCGGGGUGAUGGUGACGGCCAGCCACAACCCCAAAGAGUACAACGGCUUAAAGGUGUAUUGGUCGAACGGGGCGCAGAUUGUCGCCCCGCUGGAUGCGUCGAUCGCCGCCAGCAUCGAGGCGAACCUCACUCCUCUCGAGUCUUCGUGGGCCCCGUUCACCGCGACCGACCACGUAGACCCGUACGACGUCGUUUUCGAAGACUACUUCGCCACGCUGCGCUCCUCCUACGCCCCGGCCAGCGACGCGUCCGCCGUGCGCUUCACCUUCACCGCCAUGCAUGGUGUAGGGACCCGUUUCACGACGCAUGGGCUUCGGCACGUGCUGGGGCUUCCUGCGUCGCACCUCAGUGUUGUGGCAGAGCAAGCCGAGCCGAACCCGGACUUCCCUACCGUGCGCUUCCCGAAUCCGGAGGAGGGCCAGUCGGCGUUAGCCUUGUCCUUUGCAACGGCAGAGACCUACGGCGCUUCCGUCGUGCUUGCGAAUGACCCGGAUGCCGACCGCCUCGCCGUGGCGGAGCGUCUUCCCAAUGAGGAGGGGUGGCACAUAUUGACGGGCAACGAGAUCGGUGCACUGCUGGGGUGGUGGGCAAUGGAGCGAGCGCGGCGGCAGGGCAUCGCGCUCGAGCGCUGCCUGCUGAUGUCGACUGUUGUCAGCUCGUGCAUCCUCAAGACGAUGGCGGCCAGGGAGGGGGCGCAAUACUCGGAGACACUGACGGGCUUCAAGUUUAUGGGCAACAAGGCACUGGAGCGGAAGGCGUCGGAAGGGUUGCAGACGCUCUUUGCGUACGAGGAGGCUAUUGGGUUCAUGUGGGGCGAGCGGGUGAUGGACAAGGACGGCGUGACGGCUGCGGUCGUUGUCGCCGACCUCGCCUGCUACCUCCGGAAGGAGAGGCGGCGCUCGCUGGUGGAGCACCUGCAGAGCUUGUACCAGCAGUACGGCUACCAUUUCACGCACAGCUCCUACAUGAUGAUAGAUGACCCGUCACGGACUAAGGUGCUCUUGCAGAGCAUCCGUACUGCGGCUUCAGGGGAUUACCCCUCUCAGGUGGCGGGGCGGCCAGUAACGCGCGUGGUAGACCUCGCGGCGCAGGUAGACACGGCUGCCCCGUCUCGACGGCCGUCUCUCGGCAAGACGCCCAUGAUCACCUUUCACGUGGGCGGCGGCAUGAGCAUCACUAUUCGAGGCAGCGGCACGGAGCCGAAGAUCAAGUGGUACGCCGAGCUGGUGACCAAGGACGCGGCGGGACAGCAGGUGCUGAACGCUUUCGUGGCAAAGGCCGUGCACCAACUUACGCAGCCGCACAAGUUCGGUCUCGUCAUGCGCCCCGAAGACGCGGAGACGUUUAGUAAGCUCUAGCGUUUUCCUUCUCCCCAUGUACUUGUCCCACCCACUUUUGUAGAUGGGAUCGUGCGUGUGUGCGUUUCCUGUGCAAUUUCAGAGCGAUCCGUGCGCGAACCUACCCGGUCGAAGUAUUGUACAAGAGGGCGAGGCACACACAAGCCACGUCCGUCUCUAGUGCUCCCUCUCGCGCCCCCGCCCCCACCCUUUUUUUGGGGGGGGGGGGUGGCGGCUACGGCUCCUCCUUUUCCUUCCUUGCCUUUUCCUUCCUCAAGACGUCUUCUGAGCCACGGCGCGUUGCUGGGGCUGCCACUUGCCUAUUGAUUGCUUCUUCUUUGCACUCGCUUAUGCUUACCUACAACGCAGUCCUUCCUCCCCGCCCACCCACCCUCAACAGUGACGGCCAAACUUCGCGUCUCUCACUCGCUCUCCCUUUUUUUGUUGUUCUGUCGUGAUCGGGAGAAAAAAAAAGGAAAGGGGAUACUUGUGCCAGGUGCGUCAGGGUGUGUCGCGCUGCUCUUGGACUUAGUUGUAUUGCUAUGGCUUCUCCUAUCGUUCUUUUUUUUUGUUGUUGUUCGCCGCAAAGAUGUCGGUGCUGCCGUUGCACUGUUGCUCGAAUAGCGGCACUGAGAGCAUCGCCUGAUGCGCAUCGUCUACAGCACCCCAUUCCUUCACUCGUGUGCUCCUUCUUUGCUUCGUUUCCGUUGCUGUCCUCCUCUUCUCGCCGUUUGCUGCUGUGAUGUUGCCAUGCGUGUUGCUGAGAGGUUUUCGCACCGAAACACCACGCACACGCACACACAUACACACGCGCACAUGCGCCUGCGGUGCGUGGUCAGAGCACGCAAGGUAACAAAAG
rnacentral:misc_RNA from 1 species